rnacentral:rRNA from 1 species
UUCGAGUGGCGGACGGGUGAGUGACGCGUGGGUAACCUGCCUUACACAGGGGGAUAACACCUGGAAACAGGUGCUAAUACCGCAUAAGCGCACAGGGCCGCAUGGCCCGGUGUGAAAAACUCCGGUGGUGUAAGAUGGACCCGCGUCUGAUUAGCUUGUUGGCGGGGUAGAGGCCCACCAAGGCGACGAUCAGUAGCCGGCCUGAGAGGGUGGACGGCCACAUUGGGACUGAGACACGGCCCAAACUCCUACGGGAGGCAGCAG